rnacentral:rRNA from 1 species
UACGUAGGGGGCUAGCGUUGUCCGGAAUCAUUGGGCGUAAAGCGCGUGUAGGCGGCCCGGUAAGUCCGUUGUGAAAGUCAAAGGCUCAACCUUUGAACGCCGAUGGAUACUGCCGGGCUAGAGUCCGGAAGAGGCGAGUGGAAUUCCUGGUGUAGCGGUGGAAUGCGCAGAUAUCAGGAGGAACACCAAUAGCGAAGGCAGCUCGCUGGGACGGUACUGACGCUGAGGCGCGAAAGCGUGGGGAGCGAACAGG